rnacentral:rRNA from 1 species
UACGUAGGUGGCAAGCGUUGUCCGGAAUCAUUGGGCGUAAAGAGCGCGUAGGCGGCCCGAUAAGUCCGCUGUGAAAGUCAAGGGCUCAACCCUUGAAUGCCGGUGGAUACUGUCGGGCUAGAGUCCGGAAGAGGCGAGUGGAAUUCCUGGUGUAGCGGUGAAAUGCGCAGAUAUCAGGAGGAACACCAAUGGCGAAGGCAGCUCGCUGGGACGGUACUGACGCUGAGGCGCGAAAGCGUGGGGAGCAAACAGG